rnacentral:rRNA from 1 species
GACGAACGCUGGCGGCGUGCUUAACACAUGCAAGUCGAACGGAAAGGCCCUGCUUUUGUGGGGCGCUCGAGUGGCGAACGGGUGAGUAACACGUGAGUAACCUGCCCUUGACUUUGGGAUAACUUCAGGAAACUGGGGCUAAUACCGGGUAGGAGCUCCUGCUGCAUGGUGGGGGUUGGAAAGUUUCGGCGGUUGGGGAUGGACUCGCGGCUUAUCAGCUUGUUGGUGGGGUAGUGGCUUACCAAGGCUUUGAAGGGUAGCCGGCCUUGGAGGGUGGACGGCCACAUUGGGACUGAGAUACGGCCCAGACUCCUACGGGAGGCAGCAGUGGGGAAUAUUGCAGAAUGGGCGGAAGCCUGAUGCAACAACGCCGCGUGCGGGAUGACGGCCUUCGGGUUGUAAACCACUUUCGCCUGUGACGAAGCGGGAGUGACGGUAAUGGGUAAAGAAGCAACGGCUAACUACGUG